CACGUAGGGGACGAGCGUUGUCCGGAUUCAUUGGGCGUAAAGCGCGCGUAGGCGGCUCGGAAAGUCGGUCGUGAAAUGCCGGGGCUCAACCCCGGGACUGCGUCCGAUACUUCCGAGCUGGAGGCAGGUAGGGGAGAUCGGAAUUCCUGGUCGUAGCGGUGAAAUGGCGCAGAGUAUCAGGAGGAACACCGGUGGCGAAGGCGGAUCUCUGGGCCU
rnacentral:rRNA from 1 species